AUGCAGCUCAAAGAGAAGAAAUCCUUAGACUCAUUCUGUCUGGAGAAAAUGCAUGUGGACAGCACACAGCUGAGGCCCGUGACUCAACUGGACCUCUGGACUGAAAACCUCUCAUACACUCUUUCAUUCUGCCUUAUCUCUUCCCUUUCCUUGUUAAAUUCUCCAUCUUUCAUAUUUCUGUCACACCUUAGAAUUUGCACUUUAAUGAAUUUCAGUCAGAUACUCCAGACAGUAACUAUGUGCAUAUUUAAAAUAACAGUAAUCAAUAAUAAUAGACACACACUAAAUGGAGUUUCAUUAUUCUUCCGUAUUAAAUUAUUGUUUUAAUUAUUUCUGCCUUGUCAUCUGUUGUGUGCAUAUUGUUCAGAACCACUUUUUUUGGAUUUAAAAGAGAGAGGAAUAUGAACUUUGCUAUGUCUGUAAAUGUUUAAGUAAUCAGGUUUCCUGAAACACUGAGUGUUGUCUAGCUGUCCUGUUAGGAUGCAUGAGUUAAACUCUGACGUUAAACUGAAUGGUGCAUGUGUGACCUUCGUCAACACCAAUUUAGCCAUGAUAAAAAUAAUUUGUGUCAGGAGCAAAUUCAACCCAAAAUCAAAAGAAAAACAUAUGCAUAAAAAAUAGGCCUUUUUUUAUUCUUUUGCAUUAUGACAUUAUUUUCAUGACAAUCUCAAUUUUCUCAAUAAUGUGGAAAAAAAAUGUGAUGUAUUGAUAUUUGUAUUUUGAUAUAUUAUUCUUGAAUUUUUUGUGAGAUCCAGCUGACUAGACAUUAACAUUUUGUUCGUCAUGGUGAGCAAAAGCAUUUAGUAGUACAAGUAAAAAUAUCUAAAAAUGGAACAAAAUUGCUCUCGAGGUUCAUAUAUACAGUUUAGUAGCCACUUGAAGUAAAGUUGGUGCUAAAUGUAUCUCUACAAAGAAGACAUUUUUUUAAAAUUGGAUAGUGAAAGACCUUAUGCAUCUGUUAUAUAUUGAUGUUCAGAUGAGUCUGAGUGGUGUGUUUAGAAAGAUUGAGCUUGGAACAAAAAUCGUUGCUCUUGUCAAACUGCUUCAACGAUUUAAGCAAGUGUUUCCUGCUUGAAGAUUACUGUAUGUGUUACAAGCCAAGUCUCCAUGUGUUACUUUGAUAACGGCAGGAGGGAAAUUGUGUCUGGCAGCUUGAUUAACGGUCCAUCAGGCUUUGCAAAUAAAUGUCUUAAUUUAUUCAGAUUCAUGAUUUUUUAUGAUGUCGUGCAUUUUCAGUGACUUGCCAAUGUGACAUGUUUAACAUGUAAAUGUGCUUGUUUGGUAAGCUGUGCCCACACUAAUUCCAUGCUUGUAGGGAAAUUUGGUUUCCUUUCGCACUUUGGCACCUUUAAUUCUGCUCUGUUCUGCUUUGAAUGUUUGUUGUUCUGGUAAUCAGGUACUAGGUUUUUUAUAAUGACAUAAUCAAAUCUUCUGCUUGCUGUUUGUUGUUAAAAUCAACUAUUAUAUACAUUUUGGUCAUAAAGGAAUAGUUCACCCAAAAAAAUAAAAUUUGCUUCCAAGAUCCUUCCAAAAUCCUUCUAAAACUCAAAUGAGUUUGUUUCUUCAUCGCAAUAGAUUAUGAGAAAUUUAGCAUUCUGUCACUUACUCGGCAAUUUAUGCUUUGGAGUGAAUGGGUGCCGCCAGAAUGAGAGUCCAAACAGCUGAUAAAAACAUCACAAGUAAUCAACACAUUUCCAAAAGCUGCAUGUUUAUAAUAAACAAUUCCAUCAUUAAGAUGUUUUUAACGUCAAACUAUUUUUCUGAUCAAAAUAAGAGUACUCUAUCCAUAAAAUUGCUUUUUCAAGUGAAAAAAUUCUCAUCUGAAUCGGGAGAGAAAUUAGCAAAUAUUAAAGUUAAACGCCUUGAUGGAUUUGUUUCUUACAAACAUGCAGCUUUUUGCUUCACAAGACCUAAUUGAUGGACUGGAGUGGUGUGAAUAAUUUUGAUGGUUUUUAUCAGC
rnacentral:lncRNA from 1 species